UGGGGAUUUUUCCGCAAUGGGCGAAAGCCUGACGGAGCAAUACCGCGUGAGGGAGGAAGGCUCUUGGGUCGUAAACCUCUUUUCUCAGGGAAGAACACAAUGACGGUACCUGAGGAAUAAGCAUCGGCUAACUCCGUGCCAGCAGCCGCGGUAAUACGGAGGAUGCAAGCGUUAUCCGGAAUGAUUGGGCGUAAAGCGUCCGCAGGUGGCGAUGUAAGUCUGCUGUUAAAGAGUGAGGCUCAACCUCAUAAGAGCAGUGGAAACUACAUAGCUAGAGUACGUUCGGGGCAGAGGGAAUUCCUGGUGUAGCGGUGAAAUGCGUAGAGAUCAGGAAGAACACCAGUGGCGAAGGCGCUCUGCUAGGCCGUAACUGACACUGAGGGACGAAAGCUAGGGGAGCGAAUGGGAUUAGAUACCCCAGUAGUC
rnacentral:rRNA from 1 species